ACGCUGGCGGCACGCCUUAUACAUGCAAGUCGAACGAAGUAGCAAUACUUAGUGGCAGACGGGUGAGUAACAUGUGGGUAUCUUCCCUUUGGUGAGGAAUAACACGAGGAAACUUGUGCUAAUACCUCAUAAGUCUUUACAGAGAAAGCUUUAUGCGCCAAUGGAUGAGCCCGCACUUGAUUAGUUAGUUGGUGGGGUAAUAGCCUACCAAGACUUUGAUCAAUAGCUGAUCUGAGAGGAUGAUCAGCCACAUUGGGACUGAGACACGGCCCAAACUCCUACGGGAGGCAGCAGUAGGGAAUAUUGCACAAUGGAGGAAACUCUGAUGCAGCGAUGCCGCGUGAGUGAAGAAGGCCUUUGGGUUGUAAAGCUCUUUCGUCGGGGAAGAAAAUGACGGUACCCGAAUAAGAAGGUCCGGCUAACUUCGUGCCAGCAGCCGCGGUAAUACGAAGGGACCUAGCGUAGUUCGGAAUUACUGGGCUUAAAGAGUUCGUAGGUGGUUAAAAAAGUUGGUUGUGAAAUCCCGAAGCUUAACUUCGGAACUGCAAUCAAAACUUUUUAGCUAGAGUAUGAUAGAGGAAAGCAGAAUUUCUAGUGUAGAGGUGAAAUUCGUAGAUAUUAGAAAGAAUACCAAUUGCGAAGGCAGCUUUCUGGAUCAUUACUGACGCUGAGGAACGAAAGCAUGGGUAGCGAAGAGGAUUAGAUACCCUCGUAGUCCAUGCCGUAAACGAUGUGUGUUAGACGUUGGAGAUUUAUUUUCAGUGUCGCAGCGAAAGCAGUAAACACACCGCCUGGGGAGUACGACCGCA
rnacentral:rRNA from 1 species